rnacentral:rRNA from 1 species
UGGAGCCGACCUUGAAAUACCACCCUUUAAUGUUUGAUGUUCUAACGUGGACCCGUGAUCCGGGUUGCGGACAGUGUCUGGUGGGUAGUUUGACUGGGGCGGUCUCCUCCUAAAGAGUAACGGAGGAGCACGAAGGUUGGCUAAUCCUGGUCGGACAUCAGGAGGUUAGUGCAAUGGCAUAAGCCAGCUUGACUGCGAGCGUGACGGCGCGAGCAGGUGCGAAAGCAGGUCAUAGUGAUCCGGUGGUUCUGAAUGGAAGGGCCAUCGCUCAACGGAUAAAAGGUACUCCGGGGAUAACAGGCUGAUACCGCCCAAGAGUUCAUAUCGACGGCGGUGUUUGGCACCUCGAUGUCGGCUCAUCACAUCCUGGGGCUGAAGUAGGUCCCAAGGGUAUGGCUGUUCGCCAUUUAAAGUGGUACGCGAGCUGGGUUUAGAACGUCGUGAGACAGUUCGGUCCCUAUCUGCCGUGGGCGCUGGAGAACUGAGGGGGGCUGCUCCUAGUACGAGAGGACCGGAGUGGACGCAUCACUGGUGUUCGGGUUGUCAUGCCAAUGGCACUGCCCGGUAGCUAAAUGCGGAAGAGAUAAGUGCUGAAAGCAUCUAAGCACGAAACUUGCCCCGAGAUGAGUUCUCCCUGAGACUUUAGGUCUCCUGAAGGAACGUUGAAGACGACGACGUUGAUAGGCCGGGUGUGUAAGCGCAGCGAUGCGUUGAGCUAACCGGUACUAAUGAACCGUGAGGCUUAACCUUACAACGCCGAAG